UACGAAGGGGGCUAGCGUUGCUCGGAAUCACUGGGCGUAAAGCGCCCGUAGGCGGCAUCUUAAGUCAGGGGUGAAAUCCCGGAGCUCAACUCCGGAACUGCCUUUGAUACUGGCGAUCUUGAGUCCGGGAGAGGUGAGUGGAACUGCGAGUGUAGAGGUGAAAUUCGUAGAUAUUCGCAAGAACACCAGUGGCGAAGGCGGCUCACUGGCCCGGUACUGACGCUGAGGUGCGAAAGCGUGGGGAGCAAACAGG
rnacentral:rRNA from 1 species